UACGUAGGGUGCGAGCGUUGUCCGGAAUUAUUGGGCGUAAAGGGCUCGUAGGCGGUUUGUCGCGUCGGGAGUGAAAACACCGGGCUUAACUCGGUGCUUGCUUUCGAUACGGGCAGACUAGAGGCAUGCAGGGGAGAACGGAAUUCCUGGUGUAGCGGUGAAAUGCGCAGAUAUCAGGAGGAACACCGGUGGCGAAGGGGGUUCUCUGGGCAUGUCCUGACGCUGAGGAGCGAAAGUGUGGGGAGCGAACAGG
rnacentral:rRNA from 1 species